GGUGUCUCUUACAGUCAACCACAAUUUGAGUCAGUAUCUAAGCCACACUUAAUCAUCAAAGAGGCCAACUGGAACACAGAAUUGUGAUCACGGAAACUGUUAAGCAUAAGAAAACAAAUCUGUGAAUCAACAGAAAUGCCAUGAAACAACAUCAUACGCAGAAAAAUAUCUACGCCAGCUAGUAAGUUUCUUUUGCACAACCUAUUAAUCACAGCACUAUAAUCUCUAA
rnacentral:misc_RNA from 1 species